UUUUAAGUUCGGAGGUGAGGAAGCUUCAUUGAGAGGCUAUGGUCUGUCUGCGCAGUUAGGCACAGGUGAGGGAGCGAGCGGUGUGGCUAUCUGGGGGAGAGGUGUUCCAGGGGGAGGAACGGCCACUGCAGAAAAACUUAAGGGAAGAGUGGCCUGGAGUGGUCCUGUGCAGAGAAAAGCAAGGAGGCCAAUAUGGCUGGGGGAGGAGUGGGGGGAGGGACGCAGUGAGGUCAGAGGGGGAAGGGGAAGAGGACACUUAAAGACAUCCGUUCUCUCCUCUCUAAAACCUUCCAGUGGCUUCCAGCUCCUGGCCUCUCAGGCCCCCCUGCUCUUAGACACCAGUGCCUCCCCUCUCCCCCUCACUGCUUUGCCAAGCUCAUUCCCACCUCGAGACCCUUUCCCUUGCGGCAUCCUCUGCCCAGAAAGCCCCUCCCCCAUCUUCUCCUGGCUGGCUUGUUCUUACCCUUCUGAUCUAAUCUCAAACAUCACUUUUUGGGUGGACCCUAUGUCAAGUAGCCCCCACUCCUUGAUUAUCCCAGUAAUCUCUAUUCUCUAUGCAUUUAGGACUACUUAGAAUGAUCUCGCUUGGUUUACAUGUGAGUGGUCUGUCUAGUCCUCCCCAAAGGAAACCCCACGAGGUCGAGGGCCUCCUCUGGCUUGUUCACCUUGGUCUCCCUGGAGCAUUCCUCAAUAGUUACUUGUUGAAUGGAUGAGGGAUUUGGUGACCUCAUCCUCCUGGGAAUUCCUCUGAUUAAAGGGGUGGGUUCUGGGUGUCAUCUUAGCACCUAAGCUUUCCAGCGGGCCUUAACUAUUACCCCAUCCAGACGACCUUUGGCCUAGGGGAAGACUAAGGCUGGGACAGAAGCAUUCUUUCCUUCUGUCUGUCUUAUGGACAGUGCUUUGUGCCCUCCACCUUCUAUUCAUUCUCCGGUACUUCCAAGGUCAUACAUGCUUUCCUCCUCCUAAUCUCAUUUCGGCUGGCCAGCUCUCUCAGAACUGGAGGAGGGGAGGGGCACUACUAAAAUCAGUGAUUUCUGAGAUUUGAGAGGUCCUCAGGGACCGUUUGGCCAAAGGAGUCAUGUGACAGAGAGACAUGUGACAGAUGGGGAAACUGAAGCCUACAGCAGGGAAAGAAUGUGUCCAGGAGAAUUGGUGGCAGAUCACAGGGAGAAGUCAUCAGACUGGGAGAUAUAACCCUGGGGGUUCAUUGAGACCCCUAAAAUUACAUAAAUAAUAUUGUUUAAAGAUUUUAUUUGAGAGAGAGAGAGCACAAGCAGGGGGAGCAGCAGAGGGAGAGGGAGAAGCAGGCUGCCCACUGAGCAUCAGGCUCCAUCCCAGGACCCUGGGAUCAUGACCUGAGCCGAAGCCAGAUACUUCACCGACUGAGCCACCCAGGCACUCCUAAAAUUACACAAAUAAUGUUAUGUGCUCUUUUGACCAAGUCACAAAUGCAAGAAGUUAGCCCUAGCCCAACAAGGACCAAGGCCGUUGGAUCCCUCACCUGACUGCCCCGCCCCUCCAAGAUGGUCUCUCAGACCGGCUGCGCAUAAGUGCUUUCUGGGUUGGACAGACCUUGAGAAGCAAUCUCUGAGCCCUCUGUUGGACCAGGCUGUCAGCUGACCUGAAGAUAAUCCUAUUGUAUGUAAAAGACUCAAACUUUCCUGGUCUGACUGCAAGACAAUCUCUUGCUCAGCUCCAGUCCUUGGCAACGCAGGUCGGGGCUGGACACAGACAGGGACAGGAGCCAGAGAGGGUUGGCUGGUGUUCCUUUAAGGGCUUGAAGGGCGAGUGGGCCCUUGAGCUAGCUCUGUGAGGACCGUGGCUGGCCGGCGGCUCCAUGGGCCCGGAUGCUGUUGGCACAGGACCUCGGAUACUCCACAGGCAUUGCUAAGUCAGCGAACCUGGCACUGUUCUCUGCAAGUCCCCAAACCCCACAAAAACAUGCAAGUCCAGCCGUAGGGCAUCAGGAGAGAAGAGCACGUAGCCCUUUGGAAAGGCUAAUCAUGAAGACGAGGAAGGAAGAUAGAAAAAUAUAAAUGGUGCAGAAAUAUUAUCCGCUUUUCAUGGAUGUGAAUAAAAUCGCAAAAAGAGAGAAAAUCCUUGUCCACAUGGGGAUCCCAUUCUAGGUUCAGAGUCCUGUGAGGGUGAUAAAGGCUUGCCUUCAGGGAGGAGUGGCUGCCUAAUUGACUUCCCCCUUUGGUCUUCCAUUUGACCUCCCUCUUGAUCCAAGUAGAAGCCUCUGUGGAGCUGGGAGCCAGUUGGUCCCUCAACUAGCAAGACCCCAAAAGAAUGGAAUCCAGCAUACUGGAUGGUUGACUUCUUACCCAUCGUUUUCCAAGCCGUGCACUAAGGGCCCUGCACACAAUCUUCCCUCAGUCUUUCAACCACUCUGUGAGGUAGGGAACAUUCCUACUUUACAGGAACAAAAGCCAAGGCUCAGAGAUGUGAUUUGCCCAGGAUCAUGCAGCUAACUAGAGUAAUGGUAAUGAAUAGCUAACAAUCACUGAGCACUUACUAAGAGGGCUUCUGGUUUGAACCCACUCAGUCCUCAUAACAUCCUUGUGAAGGAGGUGACAUCAGCCCAUUUGAACAAGUGUGGAAUCUGGAGUACAAGAAGGUUAUCUUAACGCCCUCGCCGUAUAUGGUGAGGGUUGGCUCCAGCUCUUCCUGGUCCACAGGCAUGUACUGAGAACUGGCUGUGUGCCAGGAACAUCCAGCUGCCCUGGUGAUCAGACCCAGUCACUGCCCUCGUGGAGCAUCCUUGUUGGCUUCACCGCACCAGGACGGUGUGGAGACGGGCCGGAGUGGAAAAAGGGUUGGGACAGCCAGGGGUAGAACUUCCAGAGGAUGCAGGGCCCAGGUGGGGAGCAGCCCUGCCUUCAGUUGCCCCUGCCUGGGGAUGGCCAUUGAGUGGCCUUAACCUCAUCCUUUGUGGCCACCCUCAGGUAAUGAUUAUCCUCUUUGGGGGACUGAGGCAAGAGGUCAGGUGUCUCGAGAGCCCCAUCAUCUCCGGGCCUUCAACCUCCGUGGGCUCUUCACAUGCCCAUUGUGGGGGUUUUCCCUAUCUCUGUUUCACAUA